GAUGAACGCUGGCGGCGUGCCUAAUACAUGCAAGUAGAACGCUGAAGGAGGAGCUUGCUCUUCUGGAUGAGUUGCGAACGGGUGAGUAACGCGUAGGUAACCUGCCUGGUAGCGGGGGAUAACUAUUGGAAACGAUAGCUAAUACCGCAUGACAACAGUUAUUGCAUGAUAACUGUUUAAAAGGGGCAACUGCUCCACUACCAGAUGGACCUGCGUUGUAUUAGCUAGUUGGUGAGGUAACGGCUCACCAAGGCGACGAUACAUAGCCGACCUGAGAGGGUGAUCGGCCACACUGGGACUGGGACAAGGCCCAGACUCCUACGGGAGGCAGCAGUAGGGAAUCUUCGGCAAUGGACGGAAGUCUGACCGAGCAACGCCGCGUGAGUGAAGAAGGUUUUCGGAUCGUAAAGCUCUGUUGUAAGAGAAGAACGAGUGUGAGAGUGGAAAGUUCACGCUGUGACGGUAUCUUACCAGAAAGGGACGGCUAACUACGUG
rnacentral:rRNA from 1 species